rnacentral:rRNA from 1 species
UGGCAGUCUGUCCUGGUGCCGGCUGCAAGGCCGGUGCUGGGGCGACAUGGAUAACCCUGGUAAUUCUGAGGCUAAUACAUGAACGUAACCCCUGACUGACCGGGUAACUGGAAGGUUGGGGAUAGUGUGAGUAGACGCAGAUAUUGCUGGGAAUAGGCGCACUGUCAAACCACCAUACCAAACGGUUAGGGUCCUGACCUCACGGGAGGGGCCCUUUCUGGGUGGGUCUUGCCAUGUGCUCCUGACCUAUCAACUAGAUGGCAGCGUAACGGACAUGCUAUGGUUACAACGGGUACAGAGGAUAAGGGUUCGAUCCUGGAGAGUGGGCCUGAGAGAUUGCUCACACUUCUAAGGAAGGCAGCAGGCGCGUAACGUUCCCCUUGGGCAAUGCCCGAGGGCGUUAGGGGACAUAUGAAUGCCUGCCUUAUGGUGGGCAAUUCAAAUGGGUCUGUUCUAAACAGCCUCUCGAGUAACAAUUAAAGGACAA